rnacentral:rRNA from 1 species
UACGUAUGGUGCAAGCGUUAUCCGGAUUUACUGGGCGUAAAGGGAGCGCAGGCGGUGCGCCAAGUCUGAUGUGAAACCCCGGGGCUCAACCCCGGGCAUGCAUUGGAAACUGGCGGGCUGGAGUGCCGGAGAGGUAAGCGGAAUUCCUAGUGUAGCGGUGAAAUGCGUAGAUAUUAGGAGGAACACCAGUGGCGAAGGCGGCUUACUGGACGGCAACUGACGCUGAGGCUUGAAAGCGUGGGGGGCAAACAGG